AUUGAACGCUGGCGGAAUGCUUUACACAUGCAAGUCGAACGGCAGCACGGGGGCAGCCCUGGUGGCGAGUGGCGAACGGGUGAGUAAUACAUCGGAACGUGCCCGGUCGUGGGGGAUAACGUAGCGAAAGUUACGCUAAUACCGCAUACGAUCUGAGGAUGAAAGCGGGGGACCUUCGGGCCUCGCGCGAUCGGAGCGGCCGAUGCCAGAUUAGGUAGUUGGUGGGGUAAAGGCCUACCAAGCCGACGAUCUGUAGCUGGUCUGAGAGGACGACCAGCCACACUGGGACUGAGACACGGCCCAGACUCCUACGGGAGGCAGCAGUGGGGAAUUUUGGACAAUGGGCGCAAGCCUGAUCCAGCCAUUCCACGUGCAGGACGAAGGCCUUCGGGUUGUAAACUGCUUUUGUACGGAACGAAAAGGCUCUGGCUAAUACCUGGGGCUCAUGACGGUACCGUAAGAAUAAGCACCGGCUAACUACGUG
rnacentral:rRNA from 1 species